GUUUUUAGACAAAGUGUUGUUUCCAGACGGACCCUCGCGCACCUUCUUCAUUUAUUAUGUCAGUAUGAGCGAUUUUAUUGUAUUUUCUGGUAUAAUUUCAGGUAUUUACCGCGGAUAAUUUAAGUAUGGCAAUGAAACGGAAAGUCGAGCUGGUGGUUCCGGCCGAGGAGAGCGACCAGCUCCUGAUUCGUCCUCUUGGAGCUGGCCAGGAGGUCGGGAGAUCUUGUAUCAUCCUGGAAUUCAAAGGGAGGAAGAUAAUGCUGGACUGUGGCAUCCAUCCAGGUUUAGAGGGAAUGGACGCGCUUCCCUACAUCGACCUGAUCGACCCGGCUGAGAUCGACCUCCUCCUCAUCAGCCAUUUUCACCUGGAUCACUGCGGCGCUCUGCCCUGGUUCCUCCAGAAGACCAGCUUUAAGGGCCGGACCUUCAUGACCCACGCCACCAAGGCCAUCUACCGCUGGCUGCUGUCAGACUACGUCAAAGUCAGCAACAUCUCUGCAGAUGACAUGCUGUACACUGAGACGGACCUGGAGGACAGCAUGGACAAGAUUGAGACCAUCAACUUCCAUGAGGUUAAGGAGGUGGCUGGGAUCAAGUUUUGGUGCUACCAUGCUGGUCACGUGCUGGGGGCGGCCAUGUUUAUGAUCGAAAUCGCUGGAGUUAAGCUGCUGUACACAGGAGACUUCUCCAGACAGGAAGACAGACAUCUGAUGGCAGCUGAGAUCCCCAGCGUCAAACCGGACAUCUUAAUUAUAGAGUCGACCUACGGCACCCACAUCCACGAGAAGAGGGAGGAGCGCGAGGCUCGCUUCUGCAACACCGUCCACGACAUCGUGAACCGGGAGGGCCGCUGUCUGAUCCCCGUGUUCGCCCUGGGACGGGCCCAGGAACUGCUGCUCAUCCUGGACGAGUACUGGCAGAACCACCCAGAACUCCACGACAUCCCCAUCUACUACGCCUCGUCUCUGGCCAAGAAGUGCAUGGCCGUCUACCAGACCUACGUGAACGCCAUGAACGACAAGAUCCGCAAGGCCAUCAACAUCAACAACCCCUUCGUGUUCAAGCACAUCAGCAACCUGAAGAGCAUGGACCACUUCGACGACAUCGGCCCCAGCGUGGUGAUGGCGUCUCCGGGGAUGAUGCAGAGCGGUCUCUCCAGGGAGCUCUUUGAGAGCUGGUGCACCGAUAAGAGGAACGGAGUAAUCAUCGCCGGGUACUGCGUGGAGGGCACGCUGGCUAAGCACAUCAUGUCCGAGCCAGAGGAGAUCACCACCAUGUCCGGACAGAAGCUGCCGCUGAAGAUGUCCGUGGACUACAUCUCCUUCUCCGCCCACACCGACUACCAGCAGACCAGCGAGUUCAUCCGGGCCCUCAAACCGCCACACGUGAUCCUGGUUCACGGGGAGCAGAACGAGAUGGCCCGGCUGAAGGCGGCGCUCAUCAGGGAGUACGAGGACAACGACCAGGUUCACAUCGAAGUGCACAACCCGCGCAACACGGAGGCUGUCACUCUGAACUUCAGAGGAGAGAAGCUGGCUAAGGUGAUGGGUUCCCUGGCCGAUAGGAAAUGUGCUCAGGGUCAGAGAGUGUCCGGCAUACUGGUGAAGAAGAACUUCAAUUACCACAUCCUGAAUCCUUCUGACCUGUCAACGUACACGGAGCUGGCCAUGAGCACGGUGAAGCAGACCCAGGCCAUCCCCUUCACCGGGCCGUACUCGCUGCUCGUCUGCCACCUGAGGAACCUCACAGGAGACGUGGAGGAGCUGGACGGGACCGAGAAGAAAACCCUAAAGGUCUUUAAAAACAUCACUCUGAUCCAUGAGGUCGGCAUGGUGGUGCUGGAGUGGGCAGCCAACCCUCUGAAUGACAUGUAUGCUGACGCCGUCACCACGGUGGUGCUGGAGGUCCAGUCCAACCCAAAAGCUCAGAAAGUCAUGGAGACGCAGGGCGCCAUCAUGGACAUGGACGUCUUCCAGGCCCGGUUAGAGGUCAUGCUGCACGACAUGUUUGGAGAGGAGUGUGUGGACUUCAGCGACGGGAAACUCAUUUCUGUGACGGUGGACGGGCAGACGGUCCACGUCAGCUUGGAGACGCGGUCGGUUUACCCCGAGGACGACGCCACAGACGACGACUCCCUGAGAGAGAUGGUGGAGCUGGCGGUGCAGCGGCUCUACGACGCCCUCAACCCAGUGAUCUGACCAUCGGGCCAGAAAACUACAACUCCCAUCUGCUCUCCCAGAGCGGCUUUACACGAGGGAAAUAAGCUAUUUGAGUAGUUCUCAUAUUUUUAAUCUUCAAGCACUUUAGGUUUGAAAAUCUUCCAGCACUGAUUUUACCCAUUUGUUUGACUCGUGAAGAAGUUAAACACCUGUUGGGAGGAAGAACAAACAGCAACUGCAACAAACGCCAAUCAGCCUCAUCCGUCCAGGCGAGGAAGACCGUCUACUUGCAUCUUUUUUAAAUUUGUUGUGCAAUCAAGCCACGAGGAAUAAAAUCAGACUAAAGUUUAAAGCUAGUGAAAUGUGAGACUUUUCAGGGGACUGGUCUCACAGCAGGGGGCCCCUGUACAAACCCCCCCUGGCAGUUACAAUCGCUCGCUGUUCCUCAACAGCAGCAAUGGAGCCCACGAACAUUUGCAGUGUCUGUUUUCUGGAAAACCAGCAUGGGAACUGAACAGCCGACUGCCCUGCAGACGGUCUGCUUGUAACGUUUCUCAGCUGUUACAGGAAAGCUGAUCUGAAGUCAGAUAGAAACUACAGAACGUGUAUUUUUACAGUGUAAAAAGUAUCAGAGUGAGAGGAACAGGAUGAAAAUAAAACUAGAUCUCAUUGAGUUGUUUCAGAAAGAUUCUAGGAAUAAAAGCUAUCAGACCAUAUUUAAUUUUUUUUUUAUUUAAAUAUUUUAUAUUUGUU